rnacentral:rRNA from 1 species
GAUGAACGCUGGCGGCGUGCCUAAUACAUGCAAGUCGAGCGAACGGACGAGAAGCUUGCUUCUCUGAUGUUAGCGGCGGACGGGUGAGUAACACGUGGAUAACCUACCUAUAAGACUGGGAUAACUUCGGGAAACCGGAGCUAAUACCGGAUAAUAUUUUGAACCGCAUGGUUCAAAAGUGAAAGACGGUCUUGCUGUCACUUAUAGAUGGAUCCGCGCUGCAUUAGCUAGUUGGUAAGGUAACGGCUUACCAAGGCAACGAUGCAUAGCCGACCUGAGAGGGUGAUCGGCCACACUGGAACUGAGACACGGUCCAGACUCCUACGGGAGGCAGCAGUAGGGAAUCUUCCGCAAUGGGCGAAAGCCUGACGGAGCAACGCCGCGUGAGUGAUGAAGGUCUUCGGAUCGUAAAACACUGUUAUUAGGGAAGAACAUAUGUGUAAGUAACUGUGCACAUCUUGACGGUACCGAAUCAGAAAGCCACGGCUAACUACGUG